AAACUCGUGUUGUCAGCUGACUCGUACAGAAAAGUCAUUAUGAGACUUUUUUCUUCCUUUUUUCCUGAUUUAUUUCUUUAUUUUUCAGACCAUUGCUCUCCUAGGUCAUGAAUGAUGAUAUGUGUUUCAACAUCUUUUGUGGGGAAGCAGGGCAACAACUCUGAAUGCAGUAACUUGAUGUCUACGUAAUCCUAAGUAUGCAGCUCAUCAUCCUGCCCAUGUAAAAACAGCAAUGCAAGUAAUCCCUGAUAGAGUGCUCUCUGCUUCUCCCUUUUCCACUAAGAAACAUCUUAUGAACCAUGUUCAUCGAAUCUCUAAAAUUAACUGCUGCUUUCCUGCCUCUUCUGCUGAUGACAAACUCCAUUCUCCAGUGGAAAAGGAAUGGGCUGGAUGACCAUAUUUCAGUUACUUUGUAACAAUACAUUUGACUCCCUUCUGCAUCAAGAAGUGAAGCCUAUAUUUCUCCCAUGAAGGCUUGAACUACUAACUGUGGCAUCAGUAUCCAGAGGAACAUAUGCAAACAAGAUACAGUAGUCUCCUGCCUACAGUACUGUCAUAUUUCAUUUGGAAAAUUAUAUGAGGAGAUUUCAUACAGUCCUUGCAUUCCCUUAUAUGUGAAUUUCAUGCCAGAAUGCUCCCAUUAUACAUCAAAUGAAAGACAUCUACAAGAGUUAAUGUGCGUAUUUAUACUCAACAUCUCAACAUUGUUUAAUAUGAAGAACCCAAAAGUUUCUUGGAUGGAGGCAGACAGUACAGGCUGUUGUGUAGACUUGGACCAGAUCAUCUGGCUCCAGCAGGAAUCAGUAUGUUGAAAGGAUUGUGCUGCCUUUUUAUAUAUACAAAUGAUACCUUUGCGUACCAUUGUCUGUUUCUCUCCAAAAACUAAGGAAAUAAGUAACUUAGAUACAGGGUCUGAUCCUUCUUUCUGGACUGUAAUUGAUAAGGUGCUGGGCCCAAAGACCAAUUUUAUGAAAAUAAAGUAUUUAAAAGUAUUUAA